AAUUCUGAAAAUAAAAUAUUACAUAAAAAAAACCAAAGAUAUUAAAUUAAUAAAAUAUAUUACAUAAAACCAAAGAUCAUGUUGCAGCACAAUAUUAUAACAUGAUGUCAUCAAUGUUUUUCUUAGCAAUGGAAUACAAGCCCACAUUAUAGUAUUUUAUUUUGAAUAGCUGCACGCACUUGAGGAUGGAUAUGGAGGAGCAAGGUCUUAAUAAACAUUCAGCCCAUAUGUUGAUAUUUGCUCCAAAAAAUAUAUCUACAGAUCUACCUUUAAUGAGAACAAAUUACUGAACAUAGCUGGUUGUAAUAUAGUGUUGGGGACAUCGGGCUGCUGCUCUUUCCCAUUCCUUGGUGGGUAUACUAGAAUAUCAGGGAGUAUUGAGGUUCUAGAUACUUCAUCACUUAUGCACUUAAUGUUGUUUCCUUCUUGUCAUGGGAUCUAACUCCAAUCAAAGAGUAGUUUUUCAAGUCAGAUUUGGCUUUCCUUAGAGCCCAUAUCUUAGCAGAGCAUUGUUCCUAAAUGUUUCAAAAACGGGGAGCAGCACAUUUGACGGGUCGUUGUGUUAAGUGUAAGGUGUAACGACCACAAAAUCGGGACUAUUUUCCUUCCCGAUCUUGUGCGUUAAUAUUAUCUUGUUCUAGCUUUAAAACAUUAUUUAAUGUUAAAAUAGCUAAAAAUGCGGAAUAAUUUUUUCUUUCUUUCUUUCCAUUCAUUCAUUCCCAUUCAUUCAUUCCCUGAAUCGCAACCUUUACGAUUCUUCUUUAUACUAAAAUCAUAUUUAUUAUAUUAUAUGACUUGUAAAAUCUGAGUAAACGUAUUAAAAGCUUAAGUCUCAAUACUUCAUAUCUUUUCUAUUGAAGAUUCACUUUUUUCAGAAUCAUAUCUGUUCUCAUUUCAGAAUAAACAUUCUUUAUCUAUUCAACAUUUCAAACUAUACAUAACUGCCAAUUACAUUUAGCAAAACUAUCAAUCAUAGCUUUAUAUCAUUUUUAAUUCAAAGAAAUGUAUUCAUUUUGCACAUCGUUCGAUAUUCAUCAUCCGUAUAGAAAGUAAUAUUGCAUAUCAUUAACCUGCAAAAAUUUUGUGUUUGCAAGAUAUAUUGAGAGCACACAAUUCCAUAUGCAGUAUAUUUCCUUUACUAUGCAUAUCCGCAUGCAACAUAUAUUCUUAACUAUGCAUAUCCUACAUGCAUCAAUAAUUCCUAACAAAACAUACAUUCAUGCAUUAUACAUUUCUAAUUUAUCGAGUUACAUCAUACAACAUGUGGUAUCACAAAUCACAUAUAAAUUGAGUUCCAUAACCCAAUUAAGUUAGUCAUAUUUUGACUUUAACAAUUCAUAAAGCAUGGUAUGUAACACACCACAUAAUCAUAUUUAAUCCACAAACAUAAUAGAACUGAAAAACUUGCCUUAAUUGAAGAUUACCGCUAUUGUUUACUUUAAUUUCUCUUCACGAAUCCUACACAAUCGUGUUCACAUACACGCAUAUUAAAUAACCAAUUAUGUCACAUGACCUGUGCGUAUUAAAUAAUCAUAUAAGUCAUGAUCAUUAGUUACCAUAACCUAUAAUCUUUUAUUCUUGUCUUAUAACCAUUCUCGGUCUCUUUAGAAACUUUAUUCGUUUUAACCUUUUUAUGCAUAAUAAGGUUCUCACAUGACUUUAGUGUAUAAAUACUUUACAUCUUGAAACAUAAACCACUUAUAUCCUAUUUUAAGAAUACUCCUCUCUUUUAUAGUAAACUCGGAACCAUAUGGUUUAUGAAUAGUUUUUACUGCACAAACAUGGCUUACUACAUCAUUUCUUUAAUUUCGGUAAUUUUCAUACCUUUUCGAUAGUUCAUGUGUUAAAUCACGUUAUCACCACGUACGCGAAUGCUUAACUUUAUUUGUAGCUUAGCUUCGCAUUUUUCCCGCGAAUAACUUUCAUUUUCGCUUCACUUGUACUUUAAAAUACAUAUAGCAUUAUGUAAUUUUGUGUUCAAAAUCUCCAUUUUGAACUCUGGACACCUUCGUUUUAACACUUUUAUGUCCAAUAUAAUUUUAAACGGGUUCGUGCAUUUCAUUUAGCUUUAUACUCGUUUUGCAUAUUAUUUCUCGGCUUACGUUUGCGUAAACAUGUAAACUUAUGUUUACAUUACAUGUUUAUUGUUUUCCUUACGCUCAAGAUGAGUUUUCAUGGCAUAAAGUUGUUAUAUUACAUUUUUACUUCCAUUCCGGUGUCUUGUUACAUGUCAAAUUAUUAAAUCUAACAAAAAAUCGCAUCGUGGAACCAACUGGCCAAACAGCCCAACGCUGCUAGCAGCUGGGCCUCGCGUGGCCCUGUGUGGCUCAACCGGGCUUGGCGUUGGCUGGUCAAUCCCCUUGCUUCGACACUCGUUUCGUGAUGUUAUAUCUUUUAAACCACUAGUUCAUAUGCUUUGAAUUUUGGAUAUGUUUUAAGUAAUAUAUCUAUCUAAUAAUCCAAGCAUUACAAGAAACCCAAAUUGCCAAAACCACAAGCCAAAACCAGCUGGGCGAACUGCACAGCACAGCGCCGGACGGCGUGCGCGCGCGGCUGGUGCAACGCAUGCCCAGCUGGGCUGCUGCCCCCCAUAACGAAAUGCCUAGUUUGCCCAUUUUUAACUUUUCGCUCGUAGUUCGGAUUGCAACCAAUUUUUGAUAUGAUAUAAAUACCAUAGUAAAAUAUUUUUAAAAAAUACAUACCACCCAUUUCGGACUUCAUAUAAAGCCUAAAACAGGCCCCAAAAAUGUCCACUCGUAACAGGUUUCAAAUUUUUUUCCGGACUGACCCUGUUGCGCUAAAAUAGUCAUAACUUCUUCGUUUCAAAACAUUUUUGAGCGAUUCUUGAGCCCACGCGAAGCUAACUUCCGGAACUACAACUUUUAUUCUUUGACCAUUUUCAAAUUUUAAACACAGAAUUCCAGAAAAUUCGUGUAAGGGGAUGCUUCGAAUCUGUUUUCCAGAUUUUUGGCAGAUUCGACGCGACUACUUUGAACUGUCAUAACUCCUUGCUCUAAAGUCGGAAUUAGUCCGUUCCGGAGUCUAUGGAAAGCUUAUUCAGCGUACUACACAUCCCCAAAAGCCCAAAAUUUUCUGGAAACAUAUACUAGACCCGAAAUUGACCUCAAAGUCAGUAGCCAAACUAGUUUUCAACUUUUUGUUUUUGUCUCAAAAAUGUUUCCUCUCUUGAUUUGAUUCACCCAAACCCUCUAAUUAGUUAUAUAUAAUAUAUGUGUGUGUGUGUGUGUAUAUAUAUAUAUAUAUAUAUAACUCGGGUCUUGGCUUCGCUUAAUUUUCAUUUUUUAACAAAAACAGUCCUUAGAGGACUUUUAGCGAACACAUAGUGUGCAUCGCUUUAAAAUUCAGUUUUCAUAGAGUUUGGUUUGUGUUUUAGCCUCAUUUUUCCACCUUAUUACUCCUCACAAUCCAACCUAAACUAAAUUUGUUCAAUUCUCAUAAACUUGCUGCUAAACCGUUUAUAAUUUAGCUAAGCCACCUGGGUAACAUCAUAUUAUAUAUAUAUAAGCUACUUUACUCACAACAUUGGCCAAUUCUUCAUUUAAACAAAAUUGUAUCUACUGUUAAGGCACAAGGGUAUUAAGUAUUCAACGCAGCAAUCAUACUAUUAUGGGAAUAGUAUAGAAAUAGCUUGCUACCUGAACUUAAAUUUAUCUCUCUAAAGAAAAUCAUAUUGCCUUAACAAUUAGAGUCAUAAGAAAAGUUAGACUACAUAUAUGUAUACCUUCCUUUCCAUGUUUUAUUCCAAAAUGAGGCUUUUUAGCUAACAUGGAAAAUGAACUGCUUACUCAGCUGAAAAUUAUUUAACAUCUUUCAAGAAUUAUUAAUAUGUUUAUAUAUGAUAGAAUACUGAAUAUAAUUUCUCUAUCACAAUAAAAUCCUUCUUUAGGUAGGUUGUAUAAUAAUUUUCAAAGUUACUACAAUCUUAGAUACAUAUACCUACUUUAUUUGGUUGCAGGUAUCUCAACACAAAAUGCAGCUUUCUUUAUAUAACAGGACAAGCUAAUUAUUAUUUUUUUAUACAUUAAUAGUGAAAUAUCUUCAUUUUUUUUAAACAUAACAACCUGUUAGGCAUUUAGUCGAACAUUCUCUGUGCAUAGUUGUAAAAAUCAGAUUUCAAAGAGUUUGGAGCAUGGUUUAGCCAUAAGUUUUCACAAUGAUCCUUCCUUUACCCCAAACAGAUUCACAACCAAGCACACAAACAAUUACAUCAAUAUUCACAUAUAUAUAUUCACCCAAUUUUUAUGAACAGUGAAAAAGUAUAUGAAUUACCUUUAUUUUGAUGUAUUCUUGAAAUCUUGCUUUAAUUCCUCUUCAAUUCCUUCUUAGCACAUCAAUUACUAAUUAUUUGUUUUAGCUUUUAGUGAGGGUUUAUUUAUAUUGGAAACGUAAAGAGUAUAGCAUAGAAUGUACAAAGACUUGUACAAUAUAUGGUUUGAAACGGAAAUGGAGAGAAGUGUAAGGAAAUGAAAGAAGGAUAGAAAGCUGCUUUUCUAGCUCUUAUUAUUCAUCAGCUAAAGAAUGUCUCGUGUCUCUUAAUUAGCUCACAACUUAAC
rnacentral:lncRNA from 1 species